AGAUGGCGACCGGCGCACGGGUGAGUAACACGUAUCCAACCUGCCGAUAACUCGGGGAUAGCCUUUCGAAAGAAAGAUUAAUACCCGAUGGUAUAAUCAGACCGCAUGGUUUGAGUUAUUAAAGAAUUUCGGUUAUCGAUGGGGAUGCGUCCCAUUAGGCAGUUGGUGAGGUAACGGCUCACCAAACCUUCGAUGGAUAGGGGUUCUGAGAGGAAGGUCCCCCACAUUGGAACUGAGACACGGUCCAA
rnacentral:rRNA from 1 species